rnacentral:rRNA from 1 species
GACGAACGCUGGCGGCGUGCUUAACACAUGCAAGUCGAACGGAAAGGCCUGCUUUCCCUUGUGGAUUGCGGGUACUCGAGUGGCGAACGGGUGAGUAACACGUGAGUGAUCUGCCCCCAACUUGGGUAUAAGCCUGGGAAACUGGGUCUAAUUCCCGAUAGGACUGCAGGGUGGUGCCUGUGGUGGAAAACGAUUUUCUAGUGGUUGGGGAUGAGCUCGCGGCCUAUCAGCUUGUUGGUGGGGUAAUGGCCUACCAAGGCGGCGACGGGUAGCCGGCCUGGGAGGGGGGACGCCCAAAGGGGGACAGGGUCCCGCCCAGGACGGCGACGGGAGGGGGGGGUGGGGAGAAAUGCAGAGGGGGCGGGAGCCGGACGGGGCGCGGCGGGGGGGGGGAGCCGGGGCUUGGGGUUGUAGUCACCUUGGGACGGAGGGGAAGCAGCUGGUUCGGAGGGGUGUUGACGGUAGGGAAAGAAGAAGCACCGGCUAACUGCGUG